AUACGGAGGAUCCAAGCGUUAUCCAGAAUCAUAGGGUUUAAAGGGUCCGUAGGCGGGUUUGUAAGUCAGUGGUGAAAGUUUUCGGCUCAACCGGAAAAUUGCCAUUGAUACUGCAAGUCUUGAAUCAUUAUGAAGUGGUUAGAAUGUGUAGUGUAGCGGUGAAAUGCAUAGAUAUUACACAGAAUACCGAUUGCGAAGGCAGAUCACUAAUAAUGUAUUGACGCUAAGGGACGAAAGCGUGGGCAGCGAACAGGAUUAGAAACCCCAGUAGUCC
rnacentral:rRNA from 1 species